UCCUCAAUAGCUCAUAUGGUAGAGCAUCUGACUGUUAAUCAGAAGGUAGCUGGUUCGAAUCCAGCUUGAGGAG
rnacentral:tRNA from 1 species